UGACUUUUCAAAAAUUAUUAUUUCUACUUUAAGAUCAACUAACGGAGACUCGUCUGACUGGUUCAAUGCUACCUAUCCUUAUCUACGAAAGGCGAUUUUAAUAUGAAAGUAAAGUGGACACACAAAAGUAGCUUACUAGUGAAAAAGUUGUUAGAUCACUGAAUGUUCUCACGAAAUCUUCUUCUGGUCAUCUCCCUAGUCUAUGAAUAUUGCGGAGCAAAAUGAGAAAAGAAAUAAAAAGAAGAAUUUCUGGAUGCUAAAUUUUACCGUGAGACUUGGAACUGGUUUAAAAAAUUGCGAGUGACCAAAGUGAUCGUCUCUUCAGCAGUCUUAGGGAUGCUGCAUCAAGAGCAGCAUCCCUAAAUUUUUAUAUAAAUUUUCUCAUAAAUUCAAAAUUUUUUUUUGCAAAAACGGAAACUUAUUUUUUGACAUCGGCUGCAGUUUUCCAGGCACGACGCGCCACCGGAGGAUGAGGGAGACCGGAUAAUAACAACGGGAGGAACCGGAAGGCAUAAACUCAACGUAAAAGUGUCCGAGCAUUUUAAAUAUUCGGGCAUUUUCUCAUCAUGUUCUUCGCUGAAUUAUCGAAAUGUCAUCCGAUAAACAGAAAAUUUUUUACAUUAGUCACUAUUAGGACCAGGAUUUUAGCUUUGAUUUAAAAAUAACAAAAAUUUGAAUCAUUCAUUAUGAAUCUUAAUUUUGGAA